UGCAGGUCUGGUAAGGAGCCAUCGCCUGGAGCUGCUCCGCAUCCUCGACAACCUGCUGGGAGAGGUUCAUCGUCUGCUAUGUUCGUGAAGUAUCUGCGCAGCUCUUGUUCGACCUCCUCCUCGUCCAUGGAUGGCUCCAGGCGACCUGCAUGCAACGACGUCAUUAAUCGCUUAUCGAUAGUACAAACAGUCAUGUUACUUACAAGUAUAAUCAGUAUGAUGUAUACAAGUAUGAUGUAGUAUAAUCAAAAUGAUUACAUGUUGUAUUGAAA